AUCAGAGGCAGGUGUCAUUAGUUGUCUCUGAUUGAGAAUCAUACUUAGGUAGCCUGGGUUUCACUGUUUGUUUGUGGGUGCUUGUGUCAGCACAGGGGCCUGUUGCACAAAAGUAGAAUUAAGACAUCCGGGAUAAAUGACUCAGCUGAGCUCAAUGAAGCCAAAACAUGUGCGUCCAGGAUUAAUUGGUUGCACAAAGACCAAGCCAGGAUGAGCAGACACGGAUUCAUUAAGCCAGGUGAAACCAAUCCUGGAUAGGUGCGCGCUCACGGCUCACUCAAAUAGACCCCGCCACAGAUCACAGAUUAACUGAUUUACCAUGGCAACUAGAGCCGCGUACUUUUCCCCGUCGGAAGCACAAAUCCUCAUGGAGGCAUACGAGGAGGUAAAAUAUAUAAUUAAGAAGAAAGGCAACACCGCCACAGUGAUAAAGCAAAGAGAAAAAGCGUGGCAAAGUAUUGCAGACCGCCUGAAUGCAUUAAACAUGAACGGGCCAAAACGGACAUGGCAGCAGGUCAAAAUCAAAUACAAGAACAUUCUGCAGAAUGCAGUGAAAAAGAAUACCCACAGACAAGGCACGGGUGGUGGGUCACCAAAGGCUGACCUUACCCCAGCAGAGGACAUGGCCUUGGAGCUAAAUAAAGGCAGGCCCGUCUUAGAGGGGAUCCCUGGGGGGAAAGAGACGAGCAUAGGUUCCUCCCAAGAUGCCACCCGCUUCAUUCAAGUGUCUGGCAGCACUGUGUUCCUGUUAGAGCCACCAGCACAAGCACCAGACGAUGCUGAUCCAGGUGAAGGCCCCAGUGCAGCAGCAACAGCACAUGAUGGAGACGAUGAUGAUGAGGAGGAGACCACCUCUCUGGAUUCCAGAAGGCAUGAGGACCCAGAUGCUAUACAGUGGGAAAACCAGCCUGGCAACAUAAGCUCACAAGCUAUCAGAAAGUUGUAUGGCAACCACCUCCGGCGCCAAAUAGAACUGGCAGACAUAGACAUUCAGUACAAGAAGAAAAAGAUGGAAAAUCUUGCACUGGAGUCCGAAAUAAAAAAGAGGACAAUUAGGAAACUGGACCUUGAAAUAAAAAAACUUGAGAGGGAGGUGAGAUAUGCCUUCAAUGUACACUGUAUGCUAACUGUAACACAAAUGUAUUAAUCAUUAUUUGUAUUUCCUCCCCCAGCUCCAAGAAGAUGACACAGCUCAAAAUAAAAAUUAGCAAUCAGUACAACCAAGUCAUCGUUAUAAGGCAUCGCCCUCUUUUGCCCACCCCCCCAGCACCAGGUGUGGCCACUAGCCUAUAUGAAGGCCCAAAAUUGUGUGUUCCUUUCUGCUCUGACAAUGGCAUGCCCAUUCGUGCGAGAUGUGGUGGAUGAAGAAGCACUUGUGCUGAGGAGAGCCUUCAGGCGAGAAAGGGUCUUCAGGGACCGGUUGGACCCACUGGCCUUCCCUGACGACCAUCUAUAUGAAAGAUACAGGUUUUCUGCAGA